GACGAACGCUGGCGGCGUGCUUAACACAUGCAAGUCGAACGGAAAGGCCCUGCUUUUGUGGGGUGCUCGAGUGGCGAACGGGUGAGUAACACGUGAGUAACCUGCCCUUGACUUUGGGAUAACUUCAGGAAACUGGGGCUAAUACCGGAUAGGAGCUCCUGCUGCAUGGUGGGGGUUGGAAAGUUUCGGCGGUUGGGGAUGGACUCGCGGCUUAUCAGCUUGUUGGUGGGGUAGUGGCUUACCAAGGCUUUGACGGGUAGCCGGCCUGAGAGGGUGACCGGCCACAUUGGGACUGAGAUACGGCCCAGGCUCCUACGGGAGGCAGCAGUGGGGAAUAUUGCACAAUGGGAGGAAGCCUGAUGCAGCAACGCCGCGUGCGGGAUGACGGCCUUCGGGUUGUAAACCGCUUUCGCCUGUGACGAAGCGUGAGUGACGGUAAUGGGUAAAGAAGCACCGGCUAACUACGUG
rnacentral:rRNA from 1 species